UGCAAGUUUAUAGCAUCUGAUGGACCGUCUUUGCAGCUCUUUUUACAGUUACUUGCAGCUGCAAAAGUGCACUCCAAGAACCAGUUUGGCCACCAGAUUGACCUUCUUGGGACUCUGAUACCGCCAUGCAUAAAAAUCUAUUGAGAGAUGGAUAUACAAUGGAAAAUCAAUAUCUGAGGGCAGAACAGGAUAGGCAUCUAAGCAG
rnacentral:lncRNA from 1 species